GGAGAGCCGCAGGUGGUGACCACACUGCCCAUCUGGGAGGUGGAAGGCAGGGCCGUGGGGCAGCCAGCCUCCAACCUUCCCCGGCUUCCACAGCCCCCCAGCAGACCGGGACGGAGCUGGCUUUUCAGAAAGCCCAGACGAGCCUGCCAGCAAGGCCACCGGCCAAUCUCCUGAUCCAUUCGACCUAGAAGCUUCUCUGUGGGUCCCUCACGUGAGGAGACUGGGGCUGGAACGAGAGUUCAUUUACCAGCUGAGUCUUUAUUUGGAGGGCGCAUCACCAUCUACAGCUGUGGAGUGGGGAACUACCAGAACACCGAGUUCCAUCUUGGAUAGAGGUCCUCAGCCAAAUGUCUCAAGUACUCUCAGCAUGCAAUGCAGCCGGGACAGACGUGAGCAGCCAGACCAGCUCCUUCCUGUGUAUUCCCUUGGGGAGUGUGAGCAGAUUCCA